CACAAAUGUACAUUUCGGGUAUCUCAAUUCUGUUCCGUUGAUCUAUAAUGCCUACGCCAGUAACAAAGUGCCUGGAGUACUGACAUAUUUUGAAUCAGGAUGUACUGGACGUUAAUGAUCUUUGUUGCCAUCUGUAUUCUGAAUUCAAUUUCUGCCAUCUCAUUCUGUGGAAAAACCAUUGCUGGGGAACUAGUGUGAUCAUUUGAAGGCACAGGAAAAGGUCACAGGUCAAUCACUCCAGCAGAAUUGUAGAGGAACUCUUCAUUGGCCGGCAGAGGGGGCUCCUUGAAGAAGGUGGGAAUUCCUCCCAGGUUAAAAGUCCCUGUCUCCCUCAUCCAAGAGGAUUUUCUCUCUGGGAU
rnacentral:lncRNA from 13 species